UCAAGAAACUUCCACAAUGGGCGAAAGCCUGAUGGAGCGACGUCGCGUGAUGGACGAAGUGCUUCGGCACGUAAACAUCUUUUAUGUGGGAUGAAAUUAUUGACAGUACCACAUGAAUAAGGGGCUCCUAACUCUGUGCCAGCAGGAGCGGUAAUACAGAGGCCCCAAGCGUUAUCCGGAAUCACUGGGCGUAAAGGGUGUCGAGGCGGUUGUAUUAGUCGUUCGUAAAAUCUACGAGCUUAACUUGUAGGCGGCGAACGAAACGGUACGACUUGAGGUUUGGAGAAGUGCGUGGAACUCACGGUGUAGGGGUGAAAUCCGUUGAUAUCGUGGGGAACACCAAAGGCGAAGGCAGCGCACUGGCCAAAAUCUGACGCUCACACACGAAAGCUAGGGUAGCGAAGAGGAUUAGAUACCCUCGUAGUCCCUGAGCGGGCUGGCAAGGCGCAU
rnacentral:rRNA from 1 species